rnacentral:rRNA from 1 species
UACGUAGGGUGCGAGCGUUAAUCGGAAUUACUGGGCGUAAAGGGUGUGCAGGCGGUUCUGCAAGUCAGGCGUGAAAGCCCCGGGCUUAACCUGGGAAUGGCGCUUGAAACUACAGGACUGGAGUAUGGCAGAGGGAGGUGGAAUUCCACGUGUAGCGGUGAAAUGCGUAGAGAUGUGGAGGAACACCGGUGGCGAAGGCGGGACUCUGGGCCGAUACUGACGCUGAGGAGCGAAAGCGUGGGGAGCAAACAGG